rnacentral:rRNA from 1 species
UACGAGGGGGGCGAGCGUUGUUCGGAAUUAUUGGGCGUAAAGGGUGCGUAGGCGGUUUGGUAAGUCUUAUGUGAAAUCUACAGGCUCAACUUGUAGUCUGCAUGAGAAACUGCCGGGCUUGAGUAUGGGAGAGGUGAGUGGAAUUCCUGGUGUAGCGGUGAAAUGCGUAGAUAUCAGGAGGAACACCUGUGGCGAAAGCGGCUCACUGGACCAUAACUGACGCUGAUGCACGAAAGCUAGGGGAGCAAACAGGAUUAGAUACC